rnacentral:rRNA from 1 species
AUUGAACGCUGGCGGCAGGCUUAACACAUGCAAGUCGAGCGAGCGGCGGACGGGUGAGUAAUGUCUGGGAAACUGCCUGAUGGAGGGGGAUAACUACUGGAAACGGUAGCCAAUACCGCAUACCAUCAGAUGUGCCCAGAUGGGAUUAGCUAGUAGGUGGGGUAACGGCUCACCUAGGCGACGAUCCCUAGCUGGUCUGAGAGGAUGAGCAGCCACGCUGGAACUGAGACACGGUCCAGACUCCUACGGGGGGCAGCAGGGGGGAAGAUUGCACAAUGGGCGCAAGCCUGAUGCAGCCAUGCCGCGUGUGUGAAGAAGGCCUUCGGGUUGUAAAGCACUUUCAGUGAGGAGGCGUUACUCACAGAAGAAGCACCGGCUAACUCCGUGCCAGCAGCCGCGGUAAUAC